AGACUCCUACGGGAGGCAGCAGUGGGGAAUAUUGCACAAUGGGGGAAACCCUGAUGCAGCGACGCCGCGUGAGCGAAGAAGUAUUUCGGUAUGUAAAGCUCUAUCAGCAGGGAAGAAGAAAUGACGGUACCUGACUAAGAAGCACCGGCUAAAUACGUGC
rnacentral:rRNA from 1 species